rnacentral:rRNA from 1 species
AUGGAGACGCCGCCCCCAUGGAGGGUCCUCGAGUUCUACAGCGGUAUCGGCGGCAUGCGGUACUCCCUUGCGUCGUCGGGCGUUCGAGCGGAGGUGGUGGAGGCCUUUGACAUCAACGACGUCGCCAACGACGUCUACGAGCACAACUUCGGCCACCGCCCCUGCCAGGGAAACAUUCAAACACUCACUGCUGGUGAUCUAGACAAGUACAAGGCACAUGCAUGGCUCCUUUCUCCUCCAUGUCAACCAUAUACACGGCAAGGACUUCAGAAACAUUCAGCUGAUGCUCGGGCAUUUUCAUUUAUAAAGAUUUUAAACCUUAUGCAAAACAUGAGCUUUCCUCCACAAAUGUUAUUUGUGGAAAAUGUUGUCGGAUUCGAGGUAUCUGAUACACAUGACCAGUUGCUAGCGGUCCUUUCAACUCUCAGUUUCAACACACAAGAAUUCAUCCUAAGCCCCUUGCAGUUUGGUGUCCCAUAUUCUAGACCGCGCUACUUCUGUUUGGCAAAACAGGAAUCUAUGUGUUUUCCAAAUCCAUCAGUCAAUGACAAGCUGCUUAGGACACCUACAUGCCUAACAUUGAACACUACGAGAACUCAGAAUAGCUAUGACCAGAAUGAAGAUGAUCUGGAAGUAGUAUGUAAUCCAAUAAGAAACUUCCUUGAAGCACAGAGUAUUGGAGAUAAGGAAUCUUCAGCCAUCAUCUCUGACUUUAAGGAGGCUGAUGGAUGCACUCCGAUUGAAACUGCUUCACAUGACUACACAGUUCCACUAAGCUUGAUUGAACGGUGGGGAAAUGCUAUGGAUAUUGUAUACCCUGAAUCAAAACGGUGCUGCUGUUUUACUAAAAGUUAUUAUCGCUAUGUGAAGGGCACAGGCUCUGUACUGGUUACAUCUAAAAGCCUCAAACCAGUUCCAAAAGAGAACCUUGAAAUGUCUUCACUGAGUGAGUUGGGUCUACGGUUUUUCACCCCUCGAGAGGUCGCUAAUUUGCAUUCAUUUCCCCCGAGUUUCCGUUUUCCGGAUCAGAUAAGCCUCAGACAACAGUAUGCCAUGCUGGGUAAUAGUCUGAGCAUAGCGGUUGUGGCUCCUUUGUUGUGCUAUCUGUUUGCCGAGACAUAG